UGGCGGACGGGUGAGUAAUGUCUGGGAAACUGCCCGAUGGAGGGGGAUAACUACUGGAAACGGUAGCUAAUACCGCAUAACGUCGCAAGACCAAAGAGGGGACCUUCGGGCCUCUUGCCAUCGGAUGUGCCCAGAUGGGAUUAGCUAGUAGGUGGGGUAACGGCUCACCUAGGCGACGAUCCCUAGCUGGUCUGAGAGGAUGACCAGCCGCACUGGAACUGAGACACGGUCCAG
rnacentral:rRNA from 1 species